rnacentral:rRNA from 1 species
GAUGAACGCUGGCGGCGUGCCUAAUACAUGCAAGUCGAGCGAACAGACGCGGAGCUUGCUCCUCUGACGGUAGCGGCAAACGGGGGAGUAACCCGUGGAAACCUUCCCUAUGCGCCUGGGAAAACUUCGGGAAACCGGGGCAAAUAGCGGAGAACAUAUUGAACCGCAUGGUUCAAUAGUGAAAGGCGGCUUCGCCGUCUCUUAUAGAUGGAGACGCGCCGCAUUAGCUAGUUGGUAAGGUAACGGCUUACCAAGGCAAAGAGGCGUAGCCGACCGGAGUGGGUGAGCGGCCGCACUGGAACUGAGACACGGUCCAGACUCCUACGUGAGGCAGCAGUAGGUAAUCUGCCGCGAUGGGCGGACGCUUGACGGAGCAACGCCGCGUGAGUGAUGAAGGGCGGCGGUUCGUAAGACUCUGUUAUUAGGGAAGAACAAAUGUCUAAGUAGCUAUGCCCGUGUUGACGGUACCCAAGCAGAAAGCCACGGCUAACUACGUG